CUCAUCAAUCUCUCUGUUAGACCUUCUACUCCUCUUCCACGAAGUUUCGUGGUUGAUGGAUGUCGGGGGAGGCGGAUCGAAGAUUCUCUACAAAUCCGAUCUUUGGGUUCCUUCUCCGACGGUGACGACGACGACUACGCGGCAUGUGUUCGCUCUAGAUGGAUGUAUUUAGGCUGGUGUCUUUGGUCGUGGGGAGCGUCCUGAUGAUCCACAUAAGCAGUGGUUGUGUGGAGUCCAAAAAUUCCGGCAGUCAGCUGAAAUUUUCGCCACUUCCCUGACGACCUUGAGACUCUUGUAUUAACUCGAGAUAAAUGAUGGCAUUUACCCGACUUCCUACCCUAUUUUUCGAUUCUUUUUCUCUCUCCUUCUCGCGACUGUUUUCGACGUUCUCCUUCACCAUUCUUCUCCUCAAUCUCUCUAUUAGACCUUCUACUCCUUUUCAACGAUGUUUCGUGGCUGAUGAACAUCGAGGGAGGCGGAUCAGAGAUUCUCCAAAAAUUCGAUUAUUGGGUUCCUUCUCUAACGGUGACGAUGACGACUAUAUGGCGUUUGUUCGCUCUGGAUGGAUGUAUUUAGGUCGGUGAGGAAUUUUUGGUGUGGUUUUCUCAGUAUAGGGGUCGGGGCUAACAGUUUCGAGGCUCGUCGGAGGUUGAAUUUCUUUCUCUCUCUCUCAGUUUUCCUUUCCUUUCUUUCUUGUUUUCUCU